AUGAGUUAAGUAUAAACCCCUUUACAAGUAUCAAUUGGAGGGCAAGUCUGGUGCCAGCAGCCGCGGUAAUUCCAGCUCCAAUAGCGUAUAUUAAAGUUGUUGCAGUUAAAAAGCUCGUAGUUGGAUUUCUGUUAAUAAUUUUAUAGUAUAUUUAACAUAUAUUGUAUGAUAUUAACAUAAUUCAUAUUACUAUUUUUAGUAUAUGAAAUUUUACUUUGAGAAAAUUAGAGUGCUUAAAGCAGGCAUAUGCCUUGAAUACUCCAGCAUGGAAUAAUAUAAAAGAUUUUUAUCUUUUUUAUAUUGGUUCUAAGAUAAAAAUAAUGAUUAAUAGGAACAGUUGGGGGCAUUUGUAUUUAACAGUCAGAGGUGAAAUUCUUAGAUUUGUUAAAGACAAACUAGUGCGAAAGCAUUUGCCAAGGAUGUUUUCAUUAAUCAAGAACGAAAGUUAGGGGAUCGAAGACGAUCAGAUACCGUCGUAGU
rnacentral:rRNA from 4 species